UACGUAGGGGGCAAGCGUUAUCCGGAUUUACUGGGUGUAAAGGGAGCGUAGACGGCAGUGCAAGUCUGAAGUGAAAGGCGGGGCCCAACCCCCGGACUGCUUUGGAAACUGUGCUGCUGGAGUGCAGGAGAGGCAAGUGGAAUUCCUAGUGUAGCGGUGAAAUGCGUAGAUAUUAGGAGGAACACCAGUGGCGAAGGCGGCUUGCUGGACUGUAACUGACGUUGAGGCUCGAAAGCGUGGGGAGCAAACAGG
rnacentral:rRNA from 1 species